rnacentral:lncRNA from 1 species
GGAGUAUGGAAACACAAAUUGCACAAAGCAACUUAUCUUGUUACGCCAUCCAUUUAUCUUAUUAUUACUUCCUCCGUUCAGAAUUACAAAGCCACAUAGAGCACAUCCGAGGUACAUACAGACUACAGAGAGUUUGCAGAUACAUAGAUAUUCCAUAAUGCAACAUAACACGUAAGAUUCUUAGGAGCUUGUUUAGGAGCUUGUUUAGGAGCGAAAAAACUUUAGCCCCUCCAAUAUCAUUGCCACCAAACAAGACUAAGUGUCGUUUGUUGCCACCACGCAGCACUUAUCUUAGACCUUGUCCAGCAGUUUAUCCAUAGUUUACUCAAAACACUACUGUAUUUUAGACUACUAUUCACAGAGUGAAAUUUGAAUAUAUGUAUAAUAUAUGAAUAAGCUGCUGGACAUAAUAAUCUUAAAGCUACCGCGCGUUACAUAUGGGCCAACUAUUUUUUUCUAAAAUAACCUGCUAUUUCUUUUAUUUUCUUUUCUCUUCCACUCGGAAUAUCGUUUUGAAAAGCUUUCACCUCGCUGUCAGCUUGCCGGCCAGCAUCAAUAGCUUCAUUGGUGCCGUAUAGUCCCAAUAGUUUAUGAAACGACGGCUUUUUAUGCAUGGUAGUCCAAUAGAUAUGUUCUAAUAAGACGGGAAGAACAUAUGGAACCCAUGCAUGAGCACCAAACAAGAAAUCUAACUUUUAUCAUGGAAGAUAUAUGUGUUCCAGCAAGUACUCUGAUUGUUUCUCCUUAGGUUCUUCAGAUCUAUACAGUCUUCCUCCUCUCCUUUCUUGUUCACAUGUAGCCUCCAUAUACAAAGAUAUCCUCUGUAGUUCUACUCUGCCCUUGGUCUCCACUUCUCUUGAUACAAUUAACUCCCGUGCUGGGGGACUAUCCAGCAUACUUAUUAGUACUAGGUGAGGCCGGAAAUUUCUUCUCGUGCAGAGAACAGGCUCAAUUAUCGGUAACCCAAGCUUAGUUGUCGUCAUCAGCUCCUCUUUGACUCUUAGCAGAGUAAACCAGAGAGAUCUCCUCUGCCAUCGGGCACAGCAGCACCGGAUCUGGUCGCGCCGAGCUCCAGAUCUGCCAGUCUGUCCACGCCGGCAAGCUAAAACAACCGAGGCGACAGCUAAAAUGGCGGAGAGUGGAAGAGAAAAGGCCAAGAAAUUAGGAAUUAGAGAACAACCUAGUUGGCCCUGGGAUCUAACGCGCGGUGCCGAACCAAGGCCGGCAGUAUGCGCCUUGUGGUGGCAAACGAACCUAGUUGGAGGCUGCAUCCUUGGCCGCGGCGGGCCGUGGCGCCACCGCUGGCAUGACAGGCUUCUCGCUGUGGACGAAGAAAGCGUAGAAGCCGCCACAGGUGGUAGCGGCUGCCAUCGACCAGACAACAAGUUUGACUGGCA